rnacentral:rRNA from 1 species
CUCCUUGACGUUAGCGGCGGACGGGUGAGUAACACGUGGGUAACCUACCUAUAAGACUGGGAUAACUUCGGGAAACCGGAGCUAAUACCGGAUAAUAUUUCGAACCGCAUGGUUCGAUAGUGAAAGGNGGUUUUGCUAUCACUUAUAGAUGGACCCGCGCCGUAUUAGCUAGUUGGUAAGGUAACGGCUUACCAAGGCGACGAUACGUAGCCGACCUGAGAGGGUGAUCGGCCACACUGGAACUGGGACACGGUCCAGACUCCUACGGGAGGCAGCAGCC